GACGAACGCUGGCGGCGUGCUUAACACAUGCAAGUCGAACGGAAAGGCCCUGCUUUUGUGGGGUGCUCGAGUGGCGAACGGGUGAGUAACACGUGAGUAACCUGCCCUUGACUUUGGGAUAACUUCAGGAAACUGGGGCUAAUACCGGAUAGGAGCUCCUGCUGCAUGGUGGGGGUUGGAAAGUUUCGGCGGUUGGGGAUGGACUCGCGGCUUAUCAGCUUGUUGGUGGGGUAGUGGCUUACCAAGGCUUUGACGGGUAGCCGGCCUGAGAGGGUGACCGGCCACAUUGGGACUGAGAUACGGCCCAGACUCCUACGGGAGGCAACAGUGGGGAGUAUUGCACAAUGGGCGGAGGCCUGAUGCAGCAACGCCGCGUGCGGGAUGACGGCCAUCGGGUUGUAAACCGCUUUCGCCUGUGACGAAGCGUGAGUGACGGUAAUGGGUAAAGAAGCACCGGCUAACUACGUG
rnacentral:rRNA from 1 species